UUGCUCUAAUUCAUCGCGAUCGCCAUUACUAAAAUCAAAUCAUAAUUUAGUCAUUUUUGUAUCGAAAAAAAUCCACAAUAUUGUACAAUGCUAGCAAUAAUAGCACAGUGUUUUAUUUUUGUUCAUGUUUUGAGCACCAAAUUUGACGUCAUCGUGGGAUCUCAGUCGACAGAAAAAAUUCGCUAUGAAAACUCGUUAGAUGAAUUCGCUGCAUUAUUAGAUACACGUACUAAACUAACUGACACACCGAUAAAAAUUCAAACUGGAGAUGAAAACCGACGAAGUGAAAUUAGUCGUUUGGCUGGUAAUUUAUCUGAUCACAUGAUGGAAAAAAAUGAUAUCACAAAUCCAAUAGAAAAAUCAAUUUUAAGAAAGGUGAGAAGCGUUCUUGUGGAGCUGCGUGAUUUUAUUUACAGUAUAGAAACAGUUUGCCUGAAAAAUAUAACCAAGAUCGAUCACGAUGAAGCAUUAUUCCCUUCAUUAACUACGAUUACAAGAGUGAAUGAUGCAAAACACAGCCGUCGAUGGAAAUCUUUUUUCGAUAAAUGUCAUCAUGAACAAUUUCUUCCCAUUAAAGAUAAAGUUGGGACUACGUGGGAUAGCGAAGUGUUUUCUGAACAAACCGAUGUACUAAUUUUAUUAACUGAGAUGGAUAAAUCUGCUCAUUUGAGAGGGCAAUGGUAUAUGAAACAAGAUUUUUCGAAAGAUACUCUACUUAGUACUUUGAAAACGCAUACAAAAUUUAAUGGUGAAUUUAUUACAUUUGUUGAUAUGCUCUAUGAUAUUAUGACUGGGUUUUAUGAUCGAUGGAUAACUGAAUUGAAGUCUAAAAACUAGAAGAAAAACACGUCGUUUUGUUCUGAGUCGUUUCUAAUUUUUUUUUCAUCGAUGUUUUUUAAAAAAUUUGAUUGGAAAUUAUAUUUUUUAUAAAUCAAUGAGCAUUGGUUUUUUUAAAUUGAAAUUAAUUUUCUUUUUUUUUUUAAAUUUCAAAAUUCCAGGUUUUCAAUUAGAUUACAAAUAAGUUACAUAAGUACAUAUUACUUGAUAUUUACGAGGAUGUUUUUUUAAACGUAUUUUUCACGGUAUUCUUUCUUGAAAUUCAAUUAUUAAAUAAUGAAUACGAUUGAGAAUUUUUUUUUGAAAUUGAUGUUCAAUUUUUUAAGAAUUUGAAAAAUAUAAAAUAAGUAUGUUUUAAUUUACAGGUACCUACUUGAAAUGAAAACUUUUUUUGAUACAACUUUAAAGUAGGUACCUACUUACAGGUAUCUGGUUUUUAUUAUAUUUUUUAAAACAUCAAUUUUCAAUAAAAUGAGUAUAUGGCACCUAGA